rnacentral:lncRNA from 1 species
AUGAAAACAGAGCAGCCGAGCUCCAUUAAUGUGAGGAGCCAGGAAAACAGGCAGGAACUAAUUAGCCUUGCACUGUUACUUUUCAGCACCACAUUCCAAAUUCUUCAGUACCAGGCAUUACAUGGUGAAUAUUUAGGUUUGUUCUUCAUGGCACAUGUAUUUAUGACUGGUGAAAAGUACAAUUAAAGGUCAGUAGAUGUAUUUGUAGCAGUAAGGUAAUGCCUGCCUAAGCUUCAUGUUUACUGUGAACAGGUAAAUGGCUGAAUAAAUAAAUGGCUGAUUUUAAUGAAAAUGUAAAUGAGUUUACAUACAUAACUAGUUAAUAUUGUUAAUUAAACUAAAGAUUUUCCACAGUUUAUCAGUCAUAGCUUCAAUAAAUGAAAUCACUUAAUUGGUGCAUGUGUCUUAUUUUUCUUUUAAAAAUAGGCUUAUGAGGACUUUAAAAAAAUAUAAAGUGAAAAGAGAUAAUCAUUUUAUUCAUUAAGGAGUGGGAAGUGUUUAGGAAUUUCACUAUAUAUUCCAAAGGGAGAUGCUGGCAUUAAUGAAUUCAUUAGUUGUACAUAUUUAAUUACUCUUAUUAUACAUCUUAUUCACAUUCUAAAAUUAUUUUUCUGGUUAUGAUAUAAGAAGUGUUUAAGGAUUUCAGGGUAUAUCUUAAGAAGUGACAUUGGCAUAAAUAGAAGCAAUAUUUUAAAAAAUCGUUAUUGUUGUUCUAAAAUGAUGCUAAUCUAAUGUAAAGUUAUGAACAGAAAAAAAAAAAUAGAAAGUAGAAAUAAAAACACUACAACUGAAUUCCCCAGGGAGAAUACUACAUGAAUUAGUGCAUUGUCCAAAGGUCUUCAUUUGUGUCUGUGUCAGUCUAUCUUUUCCUGUCAGUCUGUCCAUAUCUGACACUCUGCUGCCUUCCCCUCUUAUAUCUGUCUGUAUUUCACUUUGCGUAUGUCUGAUCUACCUAAUUGCCUGACCUUGUAUCUCUCUUUCUUGCUUUCUUUCUCUGCCCCUUUCUCUUUCUCUUUUAAAUGUAUGUUUAUGUGUGCAAGUAAAGUUACAAUUAUAUAUAUUUUAGCAACUUUCAUUUUUUAUUUAACAAUAUUGCAUAGACCUAUGUAAAAUAUUUACUGAAAGUAUUUCUGCCUUUAUCCAUGGGAGAUACAUUUAAACAGCUGUAGUGGAUGUCUGAAACGUCAAACCUUAUGUAUACGGUGCUUCUUCAUGUAUAUACCUAAGAUGAUAAAGUUUAAUUUAUAAAUUACACAUGGGAAGAGAUCAAUAACAAUAAUGAUAAAAUAUAACAAUUGUAACAAUAUACUGUAAUCAAAAUUAUGUGAAUGUGGCCUCUCGCUCUUUUUCAAAAUACCUUAUGGUACGGGACUCACCUAUUUUUAGACCUCAGCUGACGGCAAGUAACUUAAAGUGCGGAAAGCAAAAUUGCAGAUAAGAGGGGACCACUGUGUAUGUAAAUUAUCACUAGAAAUUGAACAAAUGCUGACUAUUUUAGAAAAGACAUAUGUAUCAGCAACACAUUAUACACAUACAGAAAGCCAUAGAAAACAUACGAGGACUGCACACCUCAGCGCUUUAUCAAAUGCAAAGAUUUUCUACAGACAAUUCAGGCAUUUAAGUAAUCACAUGCAAAUACGGAAUUGAUAGUUUCUGAAUAAUCCAACCCAACAUGCAUGGCAUUGCAUUUCAUUGUAGUUGUAUUGAUAAUAG